GUGCCACUAGCUUAGCUGGAUAAAGCACUCGGCUACGAACCGAGAGACCGGGAGUUCGAAUCUCUCGUGGCACGCCA
rnacentral:tRNA from 1 species